CCUACGGGGGGCUGCAGUGGGGAAUAUUGGACAAUGGGCGAAAGCCUGAUCCAGCCAUGCCGCGUGUGUGAAGAAGGCCUUCGGGUUGUAAAGCACUUUCAGUGGGGAAGAAAGCCUUGGGGCUAAUACCCUCGAGGAAGGACAUCACCCACAGAAGAAGCACCGGCUAACUCCGUGCCAGCAGCCGCGGUAAUACGGAGGGUGCGAGCGUUAAUCAGAAUUACUGGGCGUAAAGCGCGCGUAGGCGGUCUGAUAAGCCGGUUGUGAAAGCCCCGGGCUCAACCUGGGAACGGCAUCCGGAACUGUCAGGCUAGAGUGCAGGAGAGGAAGGUAGAAUUCCCGGUGUAGCGGUGAAAUGCGUAGAGAUCGGGAGGAAUACCAGUGGCGAAGGCGGCCUUCUGGACUGACACUGACGCUGAGGUGCGAAAGCGUGGGUAGCAAACAGGAUUAGAUACCCUUGUAGUC
rnacentral:rRNA from 1 species